rnacentral:rRNA from 1 species
AGCGAACGCUGGCGGCAGGCCUAACACAUGCAAGUCGAACGAAGUCUUCGGACUUAGUGGCGGACGGGUGAGUAACACGUGGGAACGUGCCCUUUGGUACGGAAUAACUCAGGGAAACUUGUGCUAAUACCGUAUGUGCCCUUCGGGGGAAAGAUUUAUCGCCAUUGGAGCGGCCCGCGUCUGAUUAGCUAGUUGGUGAGGUAAAGGCUCACCAAGGCGACGAUCAGUAGCUGGUCUGAGAGGAUGAUCAGCCACAUUGGGACUGAGACACGGCCCAAACUCCUACGGGAGGCAGCAGUGGGGAAUCUUGCGCAAUGGGCGAAAGCCUGACGCAGCCAUGCCGCGUGAAUGAUGAAGGUCUCAGGAUUGUAAAAUUCUUUCACCGGGGACGAUAAUGACGGUACCCGGAGAAGAAGCCCCGGCUAACUUCGUGCCAGCCGCCGCAGUAACAC